rnacentral:rRNA from 1 species
GCCUGGUUAGUACUUGGAUCGGAGACCGCCUGGGAAUACCAGGU